UGGAAGUAAAAGUCGUAACAAGGUUUCCGUAGGUGAACCUGCGGAAGGAUCAUUAGUGAAUUAAACAUGCUUGGUGUCUUCGCUUCGGCAAGGCCCUUGCUUAAAUCACAUCCUAACACCUGUGAACUGUAAGACGUAUGAUGAGGUCUUUGGCCAAGUCAUCGUCUGCCCAUUUUUAACAAACAAUUAAUGUAACAAACGUAGUCUUAUUAUAACCUAAUAAAACUUUCAACAACGGAUCUCUUGGCUCUCGCAUCGAUGAAGAACGCAGCGAAAUGCGAUAAGUAAUGUGAAUUGCAGAAUUCAGUGAAUCAUCGAAUCUUUGAACGCACCUUGCGCUCUUUGGUAUUCCGAAGAGCAUGCCUGUUUGAGUGUCAUGAAAAUAUCAACCUUGACUUGGGUUUUGUGCUCUAGUCUUGGCUUGGAAUUGGGUGCUUGCCGCUUUUACGAGCGGCUCACCUUAAAUGUAUUAGCUGGAUCUGUCUUUGAGACUUGGUUUGACUUGGCGUAAUAAGUAUUUCGCUAAGGACAUUCUUCGGAGUGGCCUCGUUUCUAGGACGCUUGUCCGCUUCCCAAUACAAGUUCCACCUCGUGGACAUGACUUUUUUAUUAUCUGGCCUCAAAUCAGGUAGGACUACCCGCUGAACUUAAGCAUAUCAAUAAGCGGAGGAAAAGAAACUAACAAGGAUUCCCCUAGUAACGGCGAGUGAAGCGGGA
rnacentral:misc_RNA from 1 species